rnacentral:lncRNA from 1 species
GUUAUAUCUUUCGUACAUCAAGAUUUAAACUAUAUCAACACAAGAAUAAGCCCAAAUACCUUAGAAGCAGACACGCCAGAGUAUUUUCAGCACCUUCUGAACAGGUUACGGCGCUGGUAUCGAGGCGAAAAGACCAUCACACUUCAAGCUUCAACCACGUGUUGUAAUUCAGUGAGCUUCACAGAAUAGCAUCUUUUGAAGGAAUUUGCAGCCCUUUCUUAACGGCUAAGAACACAAGAAAG